GUGCUUGCUUUAGCAGUACAUAUACAAAAAUUGGAACAAUACAGAAAUUGGCAUGGCCCCUGUGCAAAGAUGACAUGCAAAUUUGUGAAGUGUUCCAUGUUUAA
rnacentral:snRNA from 1 species